rnacentral:rRNA from 1 species
CCGGCACGGGUGAGUAACACGUAUCCAACCUGCCGUCUACUCUUGGACAGCCUUCUGAAAGGAAGAUUAAUACAAGAUGGCAUCAUGAGUCCGCAUGUUCACAUGAUUAAAGGUAUUCCGGUAGACGGUGGGGAUGCGUUCCAUUAGAUAGUAGGCGGGGUAACGGCCCACCUAGUCUUCGAUGGAUAGGGGUUCUGAGAGGAAGGUCCCCCACAUUGGAACUGAGACACGGUCCAA